CAUCGCGAGAUGGAAUCUGAAGGAAGCUGGAUUCGGGGAAAGUACUAACCCGAGGGCAAACCUCUGGCCCGACGUACAGGAAGCACAUACGAGGUCUCACGCGUGGAUAAGACUGCAAUACAAGCCGAAGUCCUAUUACUACACGGAAAUGCGUGGGAUAAAUGUGACGGGUAGAUGGAGGGAAAGAAAC
rnacentral:ncRNA from 1 species